UACGAAGGGGGCUAGCGUUGUUCGGAUUUACUGGGCGUAAAGCGCACGUAGGCGGUUUGUUAAGUCAGAGGUGAAAUCCCGGAGCUCAACUCCGGAACUGCCUUUGAUACUGGCAAGCUAGAGUCCGGAAGAGGUAAGUGGAACUCCUAGUGUAGAGGUGGAAUUCGUAGAUAUUAGGAAGAACACCAGUGGCGAAGGCGGCUUACUGGUCCGGAACUGACGCUGAGGUGCGAAAGCGUGGGGAGCAAACGGG
rnacentral:rRNA from 1 species